rnacentral:misc_RNA from 1 species
AACGCACAUUGCGCCCGCCAGCACUCUGGCGGGCAUGCCUGUCCGAGCGUCAUUUUCAAUCCUCCAGCGCCCUCGCUUACAGAGGGCCAGGUGUUGGGGUUCGGCGAAAGCCCAGGGAACAGCCGCGCGUGCGCACGCGCGGCGGUUGGGCGCGCCGUCCCCUAAAUGAAUUGGCGGUCUCGUCGCGGCCUCCCCUGCGCAGUAAAGCAAAAACACAGCUCUCGCAGCAAGGGGCGCGGCGCGGCCACUGCCGUGAAACUUUUUUUUUUCUUCAGAGUUGACCUCGGAUCAGGUAGGGAUACCCGCUGAACUUAA